AGCCCUGUGGUGCAGUUGGUGAACACGUCGGCCUGUCACGCCGAAGAUCGCGGGUUCAAGUCCCGUCAGGGUUGCCA
rnacentral:tRNA from 1 species